rnacentral:lncRNA from 1 species
ACUUGUUUCCAUUCAUCAAAUUUCAGCCACGUAGCAAUCAAAUUGCUAUUACAUUUUAAUUCACCAGCCAACCAAUAUCAUCCCCAUUCAAACAGUAUUACAUUUCCUUUGAAAUCGAAAAUCAUACUCAAUAAACUACAAUCAUUCAGAUCUUUCAGAUGCAGAGUUUUCAGCCUGAUUUCCUCUCCAGAUAUCAGUAAUCCCAUUAUUUAUGUAAAUUUUCAAGCCUUUAGUUCAUCGCGCAAGCUAUUUUCUCCUAUUUUAUUUCCUUAUUUGAAGUUUAUGCAGAAACACAACAGCUAGCCAUCUUACAAUCAUUCAUGUUCUUAAAUUCAAAUACCCAACACCAUCACCCCAAGCACAGAAUUGAGUACCCCCUAAUGAACGAUUUAACAGAAUCCAUCACGAUUGAAAAGAAAUUAGGAAGAAAUAGAAAUAGAAAUAGAAUUUCACAGAAAAGAAAUAGAAGAGUGAGAUGGGGGUUUUUAGGGAGAUGGCGGUUGGGCGGUGGCCGAGCCACGGCGGCGGAGAGAGGCUGGGGUGGCGGCCGGCGAUGGAGAAGAAGUACAGCAGCAGCAGCGCCAGAUCUGGGAUGGUGGGAGGCGGCCUGACCAACCGCUGCUCUCUGUCUCGGGGCAGCGAGGGUGGCCACGCUGUCGGCUGAAGAGGGAGAAGGUGAGGGCGGUGUCGGGUAGGAACAGGAGGCGGCCGCGGCUGGGCGAGGUUGUGGAGGAGAACAGAGGAGAACGACAGAGAGGAGAGGGUCGAAGGGGACGAGAGAUGAGGGAAGAAGGGGGAAGGGAGAGGAGGCAGGGCCGCCGGCUCCGGCGGCGGCUGGUGGCGGCGGCAGGAAGAAGACCGAGGAAGGGAGAGAGGGGGAGGAGAGAGCUGCUGUGAGGGAGUGUUGGCUGCGUGAGUGGUGUUUGGAGUUGUGUGGGUGUGAGUUUAAAUUAGGGAAUUGUUAAGUGGGCUAAUGGGUUUGGGUUUAUUAAAAAUGAUUGGGCUCAGAUUUUAAUCAUCUUAUGGGCUAAAGUUUUAUUAAAUAAUUGGAUUUCAUUUAUAUUACUUAUGGGCUUGAAUAAAUAGCCAAUUAAUUAUAAUAGCAAUGAUUUUCAUAUGAGCCCAACUCGAUAUUAAGUUAGGUACACUAAGUUUAAAUUAUUUUUCAAAUGCAUUUAGGCCCUUAUGUUUUAUUAUUGAAUUUUUAUCUGACUAGGUGCGGCGCGACUAGGGCAUGAAUUUUGAUUGAAUUACUUAAGUUAACUUUCAAGUUGAAGUUGGAGUUCAAGUUCAAGUUAAAUCUUCAGGUGUGGGAUUUAUUUCAGUACAUGCUGUGGUUAAUUCUUGUCCAUUUUAAUAAUAUGUGUUUACCAUAUGUGUUAUGACGUAUAUUUUGAGGAUAUCGCUAGGGGCCCGUAAAUAGGGUCUAGGACUUCACAAUCCUUGGGUUGCCACAAUGCGAUUUGAGGUAUAUUUUGAGGAUGUCGCCAGGGGCCCGUAAAUAGGGUCCGGGACUUUAAUAGUCCUUGGAUUGCCACAGUGCGAAUAUUGAGGAUAUAUAUGAAGUGACCAUAUGUGUUACCGUUUUAUUAACGUGGACAAUUAUUGCAUGAUAUCCCACACUGCGUUAUACUCUGUAUGCUCAUCCCAUAUUAAACAUUUUCAGGUAUUUUCACGUUGGAGACGCGUGGAGGGUCGAAUGGGCGCA